rnacentral:lncRNA from 1 species
ACGUAUUGCUAUUUUUAUCCUAGUCGAAAUUAUGAAACGAAACGUUUUGACAGUCCGUUUGCCAAUAAGCAGUGAUCAGUUUCUUUUGUUUGUUUUUCUAUUGUUUACCUACUAUAUUAGAUGAUGACUUACCUCCAAAACGCUUUAAAACUUUCGUUUAUAAUUCUAAGUGUGUUUAUAAUUAAAGAGCUACAGUGAAAUAAAAUGAAUUCUUCAAGAAAGGCAGCACCCAUGACAAAAGAUGAGACGAUGAUUCUAGCAGAACUUGUGGCGGCGAAAAAACAUUUCAAUAAUAAGGCAACAAAUGCCACAAACAAUAAAUUGAAGGAGCAGGCUUGGCAAACCCUUGUAAAUGAUUUUAAUUCGUCGAUUCGUCGUUUCCCACGAACUCCAUCGCAGCUUCGACUAAAAUGGGAAAACUUAAAGAACGCUACGGCAACAUAAGAAACAACCUUAGUAAGGCUGGAGGUGGUAAGGAUUGCAGAUGAAAUUUUGGAUAAAGCAUGCACAUUGUUGUAGGUCACAUAUAAUAUUUUUAACACUUUUACAGCCAAGCGGAAACAAGAUGGAAGAAAAGAAAUGCAAGGCUAGCAUAGGGACAAUGCAUUAGCAGAAUAUCUAAUAGCAAAAAAGAGACUUGACUUGGAAAAUAAAGAAAAGGAGAUUGUUGUAGCAAAAGUUAAGUUAGAUUUAGAUAAUUUAAAAAAUUAAAAAUUACUUAAAAGGAAUAUUAAAUUUCAUAAAUUAAGUAGGCAAUAAUAAUUUUAUGUUAGAUAGUUUUUUAAGUAUAUGUACAAAUUCUAAAUUAAAUAUCUUGCAUGUACUAACUACCAUGUAAUUAUCAUUUUGGAAAAUAAAAAAUAGUCAAAUUAUCUUUGGAGUUUAUUUUAUAAAUUAUCUUUGGAAGCAAUUAUUUAUAAGUACAUAGUUGUAUUUCAGAUGUAAGUUUUGAAAAAUUGUUACGAACAAUUAUAUUAUUUUCCUGUAAUGUAUCUGCGACUGAAAUUUCUGAUUCUAAUUCUUCUAAAUUCAUACUUCUGACGAUAUUAUGCAGCAUGGCAGCUAUAAUAACAGCUUGCAUAUUUUCUAGUUUUAAUCUACUUUUCAAUGAUAUACAGGGAGUCUUCUUUUACA